rnacentral:rRNA from 1 species
UACGAAGGACCCGAGCGUUAUCCGGAUUUAUUGGGUUUAAAGGGUGCGUAGGCGGAUUAGUAAGUCAGUGGUGAAAGCCCAUCGCUUAACGGUGGAACUGCCAUUGAUACUGCUAGUCUUGAGUAUGGUUGAGGUGGGCGGAAUGUGUCAUGUAGCGGUGAAAUGCUUAGAUAUGACCCAGAACACCAAUUGCGAAGGCAGCUCGCUAAGCCAUAACUGACGCUGAUGCAACGAAAAGCGUGGGGGAG